GACGAACGCUGGCGGCGUGCUUAACACAUGCAAGUCGAACGGAAAGGCCCUGCUUUUGUUGGGUGCUCGAGUGGCGAACGGGUGAGUAACACGUGAGUAACCUGCCCUUGACUUUGUGAUAACUUCAGGAAACUGGGGCUAAUACCCGAUAGGAGCUCCUGCUGCAUGGUGGUGGUUGGAGAGUUUCGGCGGUGGGGGAUGGACUCGCGGCUUAUCAGCUUGUUGGUGGGGUAGUGGCUUACGAAGGCUUUGACGGGUAGCCGGCAUGGGAGGGUGACCGGGGACAGUGGGCCUGCGAUAGGGCCCAGACUCGUACGGGAGGCAGCAGUGGGGAAUAUUGCAGAAUGGGCGGAAGCCUGAUGCAGCAGCGCCGCGUGCGGGAUGACGGCUUUCGGGUGGUAAACAGCUUUGGCAGGUGACGAAGAGUGAGUGACGGUAAUGGGUAAAGAAGCAACGGCUAACUACGUG
rnacentral:rRNA from 1 species